GGGACGGAGUGUCCGUUCGGGAAGACGAACAGAUUCUGGGGCUGACGGUGGGGCAGGUAACACAGCCUGGUGAGUGUCAGGGUCCCGAGCCGUGCGCCUGGAAAUGACUGACACAGGAAAUUCUAUAUGGUGUGUUUCUCACCACAGAUAACAAGUUUUUUAAUUUUAAUGGAGAGGGAAAUUGUUAAAGUAAUAAUGGGACAGUUUCCCACAGUAAAAAAUGAAAGUCCUCAGAUGAAAGGGAUGCGGGGGCAGCCCACCAAGAGAAGCAGAAGCCCCAGCACCUUGGCACAGCUGAGCGACGCGCCAGGACCAGAGGAGCUCCCGCCAGAGGGCCCACGGGUGGAGAUGGACGGAAAGCCCCAGUCGCCCAGAACCGAGGACGACUGCACCCCCAGCAGCCAGGAAAGAGCGCCCCACACAGGCAGCUUGAUCAGAGGAAGUCCACACGCUCCGUCCUGGAGAAGGGAAGUCCCAGGUCGAGGGGCUGCAGGGCUGCCCCCCAAGGCUCUAAAGGGGGGAGUGCCACGCUCUCCCCCCGCUGUGGGGGUUUGCUCCGGUCUCCGGCAUCCUCGGCAUCAUCGAGGUGGAAGCCUCACCCCAACCUCUGCCUUCACCUUCCCGUGGCGUCUGACCCCCUGACGUGUGUCCGUCUCCACAUUUCCCCCUUUUAUAAACCAUAAUUGCACAGGAA